AUGUUUGGGGCAGAGGUUUGGCCCUGCCAGAAGUGGAUUUUAGUCCAAAAUGAUGUAAAAUGGGGUAAAAACUACGCCAAGUUUGGGGGUUUUACCCAAUUUGGGGGAUUUUUUACCCAAAAUCUGCUGGGGGGGUUGGCAUCCUCCACCAGGAGAACCCCCAGGGGCCCCAAAAUCCCCCAAAAACCCUCGUGGGACACCCCAAAUCCCCCAAAUUCCACCCAAAACCCUCGUGGGACACCCCAAGGACCCCCAAAUACCCCAAAUUCCACCCAAAACCCUCGUGGGACACCCCAAAUCCCCCAAAUCCCCCAAAUUCCACCCAAAACCCUCGUGGGACACCCCAAAUCCCCCAAAUUCCACCCCAAAACCCUCAUGGGACACCCCAAGAACCCCCAAAUCCCCCAAAUUCCACCCAAAAUCCUCGUGAGACACCCCAAGGACCCUCAAAUCCCCAAAAUCUCACCCAAAACCCUCGUGGGACACCCCAGGAACCCCCAAAUCCCCCAAAUUCCACCCAAAACCCUCGUGGGACACCCCAGGAACCCCCAAAUCCCCCAAAUUCCACCCAAAACCCUCGUGGGACACCCCAAGGACCCCCAAAUCCCCCAAAUUCCACCCAAAACCCUCGUGGGACACCCCAAGAGCCCCCAAAUCCCCCAAAUCCCACCCAAAAUCCUCGUGGGACACCCCAGGAACCCCCAAAUCCCCCAAAUUGCACCCAAAACCCUCGUGGGACACCCCAGGAACCCCAAAUCCCCCAAAUUCCACCCAAAACCUUCGUGGGACACCCCAGGAACCCCCAAAUCCCCCAAAUUCCACCCAAAAUCCUCAUGGGACACCCCAAAUCCCCCAAAUCCCACCCAAAAUCCUCGUGGGACACCCCAAGAGCCCCCAAAUCCCCCAAAUCCCACCCAAAACCCUCGUGGGACACCCCAGGAACCCCAAAUCCCCCAAUUCCACCGAAAACCCCACAUGAGACACCCCAAGAACCCCCAAAUCCCCCAAAUUCCGCCCCAAACCCUCAUGGGACACCCCAGGAACCCCCAAAUCCCCCAAAUUGCACCCAAAACCCUCGUGGGACACCCCAAGGACCCCCAAAUCCCCAAAUUCCACCCAAAACCCUCGUGGGACACCCCAGGAACCCCCAAAUCCCCCAAAUUCCACCCAAAACCUUCGUGGGACACCCCAGGAACCCCAAAUCCCCCAAAUUGCACCCAAAAUCCUCAUGGGACACCCCAAAUCCCCCAAUUCCACCGAAAACCCCACAUGAGACACCCCAAGAACCCCCAAAUCCCCCAAAUUCCACCCAAAAUCCUCGUGGGACACCCCAGGAACCCCCAAAUCCCCCAAAUUGCACCCAAAACCCUCGUGGGACACCCCAAGGACCCUCAAAUCCCCGAAAUUCCACCCAAAACCCUCGUGGGACACCCCAAGGACCCUCAAAUCCCCGAAAUUCCACCCAAAACCCUCGUGGGACACCCCAAGAACCCCCAAAUCCCCCAAAUUCCACCCAAAACCCUCGUGGGACACCCCAAGGACCCUCAAAUCCCCCAAAUUCCACCCAAAACCCUCGUGGGACACCCCAAGGACCCCCAAAUUCCACCCAAAACCCUCGUGGGACACCCCAAAUCCCCCAAUUCCACUGAAAACCCCACAUGA
ensembl:lncRNA